AUGUCUAUGCAAUUUCAAGAUGAUACAAAUGGUAUAUCUCCUUCUGAGGCUGAAAUUAGGAAUGAAAGGCCCCAAAGGAUAAAGCACCCUUCAGCCAAGAUGCUAGCCCAUCUAAUAGAUGAAAAGGAGCUCCUCCAUGUGAGGUUAGGUUCGGCAUGGGAGCGCAUUGUAACAUUAAUGGGCAGAAUAGAGAGCUUGGGUAUUACAAGGGUGCCAUCCAUAUUACAGACAGACCUUGAAGAGACCUUCGGUCUUUGGAGGGGUUUGGUGUCUAAGAUAGUCCAGGUCCUCGAGCGCAUUAACGCCAAGGAUUCAGAGUUAGAAAUAGUGAGUGUUUUAGCUGACACUAAUGAGAAAGAAAAUAGGGUGAGGGCAAUCCUAGCUUCCUUAUGCAGCCAUGAGACCAAUCUUUUAAAAUCACCUGCUGUGGCACUUAGUCUUAAGUCCAACCGCUCUAGUCAGGUAUCUAAACUAAGGGAGCGUGCAUCGUCUAAACACAGCCACUCUAGCAAGUCUUCUGCUGCUGGGAGUGCCAUCUCUUCCCUAGCUGCCUUGCACAUUAAGGAGGCUGCACGUCUGGAGCUAAAGAGCAAGGUAGCGGGGGCGGAGGCUGAUGCUAAGGCAGCUGAUCUCACCCUUCCCUUUAAAGAAGAAGAGCAACGACUGCAAAUAGAACAGGCCCGUAGACAAAGCGAAAUGCAAAUAGAACAGGCCCGUAGACAAAGCGAAAUGCAAAUAGAACAGGCUCGUAUAGAGAUGCUUAGAAUAAAGAUGGAUGCCGCAGCCAAAAGGGUAAGGGCUGAGACUUUGGCCAAGGCCCUAAUUGAGCCACUCACAGAAGAAAAUGUAAGCCAGUUACCAAUACAGGAUCCUUCUGCCAAAGUGUUUGCGCACCUUGGCAGCAUGAACAGCCAGUUUUCGGAUGAGGAACAGGGAGACUUCUCUCCUUACCCAGAGCAGGGUCCCAAAGUCACUUUUGAGUUUCCUGCAGAGCAGAGCGUCAUAGCGGGGAGCUCACCCUUGCUCGAGCUACCUGUGCCUCCUGCUAAAACCCUAGGUCAGUCAAUCAGGGCCUCAAGGCCGAGCGCUAGUUGGCCCCUACAGACAGCUGCACAGGGAACCAUCGAUUCGUCAGUGGUCGAUGUCAUCCCUCCAAGAGGCCAAAGGUUGACGCAAGGUACACGGUGGGAGUCCACUCCACAACAGCAAACUCCUCAAUUGUUCCCUUCGACGCCAGAGUCCCAGCUUGUCUCCAUCAUCAGAAGCCCCAGAAGAGAUCUUAAGGACAAGGGUGUCGAAAGGUUUUCGGACAAGCCUGAGGAAUUUCUUCUCUGGAAGGCCACCUUCCAGAGAGCAAUCAGAGACUUAAAGUUAUUGCCUGAGGAAGAACUGACUCUUCUGGCUGCAUGGUUGGGCCCAGCCUCAUCCUCACAAGUUAAGAAGAUCUACGCAGCCCACGUAACCGAUCCCGACAAAGCCCUGGAAAAGGCCUGGGCCAGGUUGCAGCAGAGGUAUGGGGCCAGCACAGAGAUUGAAGCAUCUCUUAUGGACAAGCUCCAAAGGUUCCCAGCUUUAAAACUCAAAGACUUCAAACUCUUGUGGGACCUCAGCGAUCUCCUUGCGGAAUUAGAGUCGGCCAAGGAGAAUCCAGAACUGCCCGGUUUGAAGUGCCUCGAUCAGCACCUGUCCCAGAGGCAGAUCUUGACCAAGCUGCCCUUCACUUUGCAAGAACGCUGGGGACAGGAGGUCUUCAACUACAAGGAGGCCCACUCCCAGGCAUACCCUCCAUUUUCUCAUUUGGUCCAGUUCAUCACCAGGGCAGCCAGAGAAAGGAAUGAUCCACAGACGGGCCUCCCCACCUUAUACCAAGGGACCCAGCCAGAGAAGGCACCUGAAGUGGACAAGAAACCACCUAGAGAGGCCAAUAGACCUGUCAGCGUAAAGGCAGUCGAAACUCAACACAAGACUGACGAACCCAGGUCGGAGGUAAAGGAGUUGCUUUGCCCUAUUCACCAAAAGCCUCACAGCUUGGCCAACUGCAGGGAGUUUAGUAGAAAGACAUACAAAGAAAGGCAACAGCUAGUUCAAAAGCAGGGAAUCUGCUUUAGAUGCUGUGGAGCAACUCCACACUUUGCAUCCAACUGCAAAGAAAACAUCAAGUGUGAGAAAUGCAACAGCCUCAAGCAUUGCACCGCAAUGCACAACUCCAAUAUCAUCUCCCACCCCAAAGAGAACGCUUCACCAAAAGAAAAGUCAGCAGUCGAAGACACCGACAAGCCAGCCGCACCAGAGAUGCAGGUGGAAGUUUCAGCAGUCGCCUGUACAGAGCUGUGUUCUGACUCGCACCAGUACAGAGUUUGUCAUCCUAUCUGCCUAGCGGAUGUAUAUCCAGCCAAGAGCCCUUGGCUUAGAAAGAGACUCUAUGUGGCCCUGGAUUCACAGAGCGACGCCUCCCUGGCUACUCCAGAGUUCUUCCGCAUGUUUGACCUUAAAACCAAGAUGGUCGACUACACUAUGACUACGUGGUGCAGGAAAAAGAAGUUGCAGGGUCGCAUAGCAUCUGGCUUCGUUGUCUCCUCUUGCGACCAGAAGAGACAGUUCAAGUUGCCAGACCUGAUUGAGUGUUCCUCUAUUCCCCGGAACAAAAGGCAGAUUGUCACCAGAGAAGUUGUGGAGGCUCAUCCACAUUUGCGACGGUUAAAGAAUGCUAUACCAGCCUUUCGGCCAGAUGUGGACAUUGCCCUUUUGCUUGGCUCGGACUGCCCGAGCUUGUUCUGUGUGAACGACCAAGUUAAAGGGACNNNNNNNNNNNNNNNNNNNNNNNNNNNNNNNNNNNNNNNNNNNNNNNNNNNNNNNNNNNNNNNNNNNNNNNNNNNNNNNNNNNNNNNNNNNNNNNNNNNNUCUAGAUUAUUAAAUAUGGUUUUCUGUGGGUGA
ensembl:lncRNA